GCUCAAGUUUUGAAUAUGUGGUUGUACAUCAUGCUCCUAAUUAAAGAAACACUUGGCCCUGCUGAAAGGAAAGAAACAUUCCUUUUCUGUUGUAUCACAUCGUAACAUAAUUGGAGAGUAUCUACUGAAGGCCUACUAUGUUCCCGUACUCAGCUAAGUGCCGUCGGAUACAUGGAAUCCACGGACUUCUGAGAGCUGCUGGAAAAAAAUCACCACCCCUAGGUGGACUGAUGCCAUGACAAAUCAUGAUUUCCAGAAUCACCUGGACUUCCUUUGAAUCCAGUUUCCCUGCAUCAGAGAAAACGCUUUCCCUUCCUGCAGUGGCUAUUCUAAAGUUUCGAUGCAAUCCUCACAUCCUUUAUCUUCCUCACAUCUCAUCUGCUUUUAGCAAAUGGCCUCACCAUGAAAAUCAUGACUACCAGCAGCCAUAUUGUGAUGAUGAGGGACAGGCAUAAGAUUGAAAGGAAACAGAUAGAAGACGUAAUGCCAAAAGCUGGGAAGAGCUGGUGUCUUUAAGAACAUUUUUGAGCCACUGCGUAACAAAUUCCAAGGCUGAACUUUAAUACUUAUAUGAGAUAAUAAUAAUAGCAGGGGUGAAAUCUGCUGGUGUUUAAAAGCUACCACACUUUGAGAAAUGACCAGGUUUUUUCUUUUUUCUUUUUCCUUUUCCACAGCAGCACUUGUCAGAGAUUGAAAAACAAUAGAUCAGUGAGGAGGAGGGUCAUUAAGUAGGAAGAGGUGGGGAAUUAUUUCCUAACAAUCAGGAUUGAAUAUCAGCAAUCUUGUUGUUGCUGUUCUCACUACACUGAGUGCCUGAUGUAUGCAUUACUAUUGAAUGUGAUCUAAUUAUUCUGGCCUUUAUGUCCACGAGUAUAGAAAUUUGCAGAAGGAAAACAUGGUGAUAAAGUGUUCUGCUAACCUCAAAGUCUUCCACAACGUGUAUUAGACUCCUAGCCCCAUCAACUCUGCUAUAUCUGCUUCUUCAAAGGAGCUUCU